UACGGAGGGUGCGAGCGUUAUUCGGAAUUACUGGGCGUAAAGCGCACGUAGGCGGUGCGGUAAGUCAGGGGUUAAAGGCUGCAGCUCAACUGCAGUAAGGCCUUUGAUACUAUCGUGCUAGAGUGUCAGAGAGGAUGGCGGAAUUCCCGGUGCAGCGGUGAAAUGCGUAGACAUCGGGAGGAACACCAGUAGCGAAGGCGGCCAUCUGGCUGAUAACUGACGCUGAGGUGCGAGAGCGUGGGGAGCAAACAGG
rnacentral:rRNA from 1 species